rnacentral:rRNA from 1 species
UACGAAGGGUGCUAGCGUUGUUCGGAAUCACUGGGCGUAAAGCGCGCGUAGGCGGCUUUGCAAGUCAGAGGUGAAAUACCCAGGCUCAACCUGGGAACUGCCUUUGAAACUGCAAAGCUAGAGUGUCGGAGGGGAUGGCGGAAUUGCUAAUGUAGAGGUGAAAUUCGUAGAUAUUAGCAGGAACACCGGUGGCGAAGGCGGCCAUCUGGACGACAACUGACGCUGAGGCGCGAAAGCGUGGGGAUCAAACAGG